rnacentral:rRNA from 1 species
CCUACGGGUGGCAGCAGUGGGGAAUAUUGGACAAUGGGGGGAACCCUGAUCCAGCCAUGCCGCGUGUGUGAAGAAGGCCCUCGGGUUGUAAAGCACUUUCAGUGAGGAAGAACGCCUGGUGGUUAAUACCCAUCAGGAAAGACAUCACUCACAGAAGAAGCACCGGCUAACUCCGUGCCAGCAGCCGCGGUAAUACGGAGGGUGCGAGCGUUAAUCGGAAUUACUGGGCGUAAAGCGCGCGUAGGUGGCUUGAUAAGCCGGUUGUGAAAGCCCCGGGCUCAACCUGGGAACGGCAUCCGGAACUGUCAAGCUAGAGUGCAGGAGAGGAAGGUAGAAUUCCCGGUGUAGCGGUGAAAUGCGUAGAGAUCGGGCGGAAUACCAGUGGCGAAGGCGGCCUUCUGGACUGACACUGACACUGAGGUGCGAAAGCGUGGGUAGCAAACAGGAUUAGAUACCCGUGUAGUC